GACGAACGCUGGCGGCGUGCCUAACACAUGCAAGUCGAACGGAGAUAUGAUUUCGGUUGUAUCUUAGUGGCGAACGGGUGAGUAACGCGUGAACAACCUGACUCUAAGAGGGGGAUAACACUCGGAAACGGGUGCUAAUACCGCAUAAGACCACGACCUGGCAUCAGGAUGAGGUCAAAGGAGCAAUCCGCUGAGAGAGGGGUUCGCGUCCCAUUAGAUAGAUGGCGGGGUAACGGCCCACCAUGUCAACGAUGGGUAGCCGAGCUGAGAGGCUGAUCGGCCACACUGGAACUGAGACACGGUCCAGACUCCUACGGGAGGCAGCAGUGGGGAAUAUUGGGCAAUGGGCGCAAGCCUGACCCAGCAACGCCGCGUGAGGGAAGAAGGCUUUCGGGUUGUAAACCUCUGUCCUUGGUGACGAAACAAAUGACGGUAGCCAAGGAGGAAGCCCCCGGCUAACUACGUGCCAGCAGCCGCGGUAA
rnacentral:rRNA from 1 species